rnacentral:piRNA from 1 species
UCCUGACCUAUUACACCACUCAUUGCUUAUGC